UUUUGCUUCGCUUUACUCCAUUUCGUUUCAAUGUGAAUGUACUCAUACAAAAGCGUAAAAAAUGUAAUAAAAAUAAUAAAUGAGUCUACCAAAAUUUCACCAAAAAAUCUGACGCUCAUAUUUUUUGAAACUUUUGCGCAAAAAAUAAUAGAUACUCGUACCAACUUACCCCAAGCCGAUAACAACAGAAUAGAAGCCAAAAAAAAGAUUUAUACAUUAAAUAAUAUCGGACUCGAAAAAAAAUUGCGCAAUGCUGUGCCGCUAAGAAAAUGUGCCCUCCGCGAAAUGCCGAAUGCUACGAAUACGAAUGCCUUAUGCGAGCUUCGAAAAAGUGUUACUCGUCUUUCAGCUGGAGUUGCUGGAAACCAAUUGUGUGGAAUCUCCACUCGUUCCUACUGAGGUUCACAGUACUUACCGAUCAUCUUCUUUUUAACCGCAUAGUGCAUCCGUCGCAAUUGUGUUUACCCGCCCGAAUUUGACGGCAGGUAUAGCUGUUCACCAUUCGUCGUUCCGUCUGAAUUGCAACGGGUGCUUGAGUCAAAAUAUGUAUGUUCGUUCUCAUAAUGAGUAUGUUACCCGAGCUUUGGUCGGAUUUUUUAAAAUUAUAUACCUACAUAAGUACAAUCAAACAUGGGAAUAAGAGUAGAUCAAAUGAUUUUUUUUGAAUCACACCAUUAAAGAUAUGAUUAAAUAUUAA